rnacentral:tRNA from 1 species
GCCCGGAUGGUGGAAUGGUAGACACGAAGGACUUAAAAUCCUUUGGCCUCACGGCUGUGCGGGUUCAAGUCCCGCUUCGGGUACCA